rnacentral:misc_RNA from 1 species
GGGAGGGGGAAUUGGCCAAUCAAAUUUGUUAAAUGAUGUGUUCCUUUAAUCACUAAUUCACUAUCAAAUAAGAAACAAUGAAAAUGAAUUUUCAUCCCCAUCCUUGAUUCUACAUUUUGGGGGGGCAAAUUCUUUGUGCCCGUGUUUUCCUUUUGCUGUUUAUUAUCGAAGCAAAACUAAACGAUUCAAACUGAAGAAUGCUCAAGUAAUAAAAGAAGCUCAGAAUUAUAAAUAAAGUAACGAGAGAAAGAAGCCACACCUUCAUAAGGUGCAUC